rnacentral:rRNA from 1 species
UGGUAAUGCCGGAUGCUCCGACUCCUCGCAUGGGGUGUCGGGAAAGAUUCAUCGGUAUGGGAUGGGGUCGCGUCCUAUCAGGUAGUCGGCGGGGUAACGGCCCACCGAGCCUACGACGGGUAGCCGGCCUGAGAGGGCGACCGGCCACAUUGGGACUGAGAUACGGCCCAGACUCCUACGGGAGGCAGCAGUGGGGAAUAUUGCACAAUGGGCGCAAGCCUGAUGCAGCGACGCCGCGUGCGGGAUGACGGCCUUCGGGUUGUAAACCGCUUUUGAUCGGGAGCAAGCCUUCGGGUGAGUGUACCUUUCGAAUAAGCACCGGCUAACUACGUGCCAGCAGCCGCGGUAAUACGUAGGGUGCAAGCGUUAUCCGGAAUUAUUGGGCGUAAAGGGCUCGUAGGCGGUUCGUCGCGUCCGGUGUGAAAGUCCAUCGCUUAACGGUGGAUCUGCGCCGGGUACGGGCGGGCUGGAGUGCGGUAGGGGAGACUGGAAUUCCCGGUGUAACGGUGGAAUGUGUA